UACGGAGGAUCCAAGCGUUAUCCGGAAUCAUUGGGCGUAAGGGUCCGUAGGCGGGAUGAUAAGUCAGUGGUAGAGUCUGCAGCUCAACUGUAGAACUGCCAUUGAUACUGUUGUCCUUGAGUCAUUAUGAAGUGGUUAGAAUAUGUAGUGUAGCGGUGAAAUGCAUAGAUAUUACAUAGAAUACCGAUUGCGAAGGCAGAUCACUAAUAAUGUACUGACGCUGAUGGACGAAAGCGUAGGUAGCGAACAGG
rnacentral:misc_RNA from 1 species